ACACUUGGGCUACCCUUUACCAACGAAAAGUUAUAACAUUACGACAACAUGGACCCUCAGAUACGCAGUCUUGCACAUUAAUGACUAGGAUAUACUCGGCCCCAUGUUUCUGGUAUGCUGCAUCUUAAGGUAUUUCAAAGACUGAUGGCAAAAAUAUUAGAAUCUUGUUAUCUGGAAGUCAACAUGCACAAGAAACCAAGGUACACUCAUCACAAGUCCUGUAAAAAGUUCCAGUUAGUUCUAAAUACCAACUUUACAAAUUUGCUUUUAAAUAACUUUUUAUAGAAGAUUAUAUUACACUGCUGAUAAAAAAUGACAGAUAUGCAAUUUCUUGGAUGAAGUGAUGUACCAGAGUUAUGAAAAAACUUUAAAAAAAAUUACUGUAUGAGGAAUUCACCAGUGAUGUAGAAACACGUUUUAAAGUGAUUAAUGACAAAAAUGUGAAGCCCAAAUCUAUACUUGUUUUUAGAUGAAAGUACUACUUUGUUAAAGGUAAAAAUUUAUGGAAGGUUUUAAAGUGAUUAAUGACAAAAAUGUGAAGCCCAAAUCUAUACUUGUUU
rnacentral:lncRNA from 1 species